rnacentral:rRNA from 1 species
AUUGAACGCUGGCGGCAGGCCUAACACAUGCAAGUCGAGCGAGCGGCGGACGGGUGAGUAAUGUCUGGGAAACUGCCUGAUGGAGGGGGAUAACUACUGGAAACGGUAGCUAAUACCGCAUACCAUCAGAUGUGCCCCGAUGGGGUUAGCUAGUAGGUGGGGUGAUGGCUCACCUAGGCGACGAUCCCUAGCUGGUCUGAGAGGAUGACCAGCCAAACUGGAACUGACACACGGUCCAGACACUGACGGAGGGAAGCAGUGGGGAAUAUUGAACAAUGGGCGCAAGCCUGAUGCAGCCAUGCCGGGUGUAUGAAGAAGGCCUUCGGGUUGUAAAGUACUUUCAGCGAGGAGACGUUACUCACGGAAAAAGCACCGGCUAACUCCGUGCCAGCGGCCGCGGUAUAC